rnacentral:rRNA from 1 species
GACGAACCGAGCGAACGUUGUUCGGAAUCACUGGCUUAAAGGGCGCGUAGGCGGGCUGCCGCGUCCGGGGUGAAAUCCCACGGCUCAACCGUGGAACGGCCCCGGGUACGGGCGGCCUCGAGGGGGGUAGGGGCGUGCGGAACUGUGGGUGGAGCGGUGAAAUGCGUUGAGAUCCACAGGAACUCCGGUGGCGAAGGCGGCACGCUGGACCCCUUCUGACGCUGAGGCGCGAAAGCCAGGGGAGCGAACAGG